rnacentral:rRNA from 1 species
GAUUGAACGCUGGCGGCAUGCCUUACACAUGCAAGUCGAACGGCAGCAUGAUCUAGCUUGCUAGAUUGAUGGCGAGUGGCGAACGGGUGAGUAAUACAUCGGAACGUGCCCUGUAGUGGGGGAUAACUAGUCGAAAGAUUAGCUAAUACCGCAUACGACCUGAGGGUGAAAGUGGGGGACCGCAAGGCCUCAUGCUAUAGGAGCGGCCGAUGUCUGAUUAGCUAGUUGGUGAGGUAAAGGCUCACCAAGGCGACGAUCAGUAGCUGGUCUGAGAGGACGAUCAGCCACACUGGGACUGAGACACGGCCCAGACUCCUACGGGAGGCAGCAGUGGGGAAUUUUGGACAAUGGGCGAAAGCCUGAUCCAGCAAUGCCGCGUGUGUGAAGAAGGCCUUCGGGUUGUAAAGCACUUUUGUCCGGAAAGAAAUGGCUCUGGUUAAUACCUGGGGUCGAUGACGGUACCGGAAGAAUAAGGACCGGCUAACUACGUG